rnacentral:misc_RNA from 1 species
GAUGAAGAACGUAGCGAAAUGCGAUAAGUAAUGUGAAUUGCAGAAUUCAGUGAAUCAUCGAAUCUUUGAACGCACAUUGCGCCCCCUGGUAUUCCGGGGGGCAUGCCUGUCCGAGCGUCAUUACAACCCUCAAGCUCAGCUUGGUAUAGGGCCCCGCCGACCCGGCGGGCCCUAAAGUCAGUGGCGGUGCCGUCCGGCUCCGAGCGUAGUAAUUCUUCUCGCUCUGGAGGUCCGGUCGUGUGCUCGCCAGCAACCCCCAAUUUUUUUCAGGUUGACCUCGGAUCAGGUAGGGAUACCCGCUGAACUUAAGCAUAUCAAUAAGCGGAGGA